AUGAUACUAACUUAACGUCGGUAGUCAUUCCCGCGUAGGCGGGAAUCUCUUUAAUUGCUAUGAGGUUCCUGUGUCAAGCACGAGGAUUAUAAGUUAAAUCUCUAGUAUAAUUUUU
rfam:Francisella tularensis subsp. tularensis SCHT S4 complete genome